rnacentral:rRNA from 1 species
CAUGCAAGUCGAACGGCAGCACGGACUUCGGUCUGGUGGCGAGUGGCGAACGGGUGAGUAAUGUAUCGGAACGUGCCUAGUAGCGGGGGAUAACUACGCGAAAGCGUAGCUAAUACCGCAUACGCCCUACGGGGGAAAGCAGGGGAUCGCAAGACCUUGCACUAUUAGAGCGGCCGAUAUCGGAUUAGCUAGUUGGUGGGGUAAUGGCUCACCAAGGCGACGAUCCGUAGCUGGUUUGAGAGGACGACCAGCCACACUGGGACUGAGACACGGCCCAGACUCCUACGGGAGGCAGCAGUGGGGAAUUUUGGACAAUGGGGGAAACCCUGAUCCAGCCAUCCCGCGUGUGCGAUGAAGGCCUUCGGGUUGUAAAGCACUUUUGGCAGGAAAGAAACGUCAUGGGCUAAUACCCCGUGAAACUGACGGUACCUGCAGAAUAAACACCGGCUAACUACUGCCAC